CAUGCAAGUCGAGCGGUAGCACAGAGAGCUUGCUCUCGGGUGACGAGCGGCGGACGGGUGAGUAAUGUCUGGGAAACUGCCUGAUGGAGGGGGAUAACUACUGGAAACGGUAGCUAAUACCGCAUAAUGUCGCAAGACCAAAGUGGGGGACCUUCGGGCCUCAUGCCAUCAGAUGUGCCCAGAUGGGAUUAGCUAGUAGGUGGGGUAACGGCUCACCUAGGCGACGAUCCCUAGCUGGUCUGAGAGGAUGACCAGCCACACUGGAACUGAGACACGGUCCAGACUCCUACGGGAGGCAGCAGUGGGGAAUAUUGCACAAUGGGCGCAAGCCUGAUGCAGCCAUGCCGCGUGUGUGAAGAAGGCCUUCGGGUUGUAAAGCACUUUCAGCGGGGAGGAAGGCG
rnacentral:rRNA from 1 species